GACGAACGCUGGCGGCGUGCCUAAUACAUGCAAGUCGAGCGAGCUUGCCUAGAUGAUUUUAGUGCUUGCACUAAAUGAAACUAGAUACAAGCGAGCGGCGGACGGGUGAGUAACGCGUGGGUAACCUGCCUCAUACAGGGGGAUAACAGUUAGAAAUGACUGCUAAUACCGCAUAAGACCACAGGGUCGCAUGACCCGGUGGUAAAACUACCGGUGGUAUGAGAUGGAUCCGCGUCUGAUUAGCUAGUUGGUGGGGUAACGGCCCACCAAGGCGACGAUCAGUAGCCGACCUGAGAGACUGAUCGGCCACAUUGGGACUGAGACACGGCCCAA
rnacentral:rRNA from 1 species